rnacentral:rRNA from 1 species
AGCGAACGCUGGCGGCGUGCCUAACACAUGCAAGUCGAACGUGAAAAGCGAAACCUGUGUAGAGUGUCGUACGGGUGAGUAACGCGUAGCUCAUCUAUCCCAGAAUCUUGACUAACCUGCCGAAUCACGGGCUAAUACUUGAUAGCGCGAAGGAACUCGUGCGACAGUUUUUGGGUUAGGUGAGUUCGCCAGUUCCUUCGUUCUGCGCUGCGCAUGCGUCUGAUUAGCUAGUUGUUUAGGUAACGGCUUACCAAGGCGAUGAUGAGGAGCUGGUAUGAGAGGAUGAGAAGCCACACUGGAACUGGAACAGGGUCCAGAAUGCUAGGGGUGGGAGCAGUACGGAAUCUUGAGGAAUGGACGAAGGUCUGAGGAAGCCACGCGGCGUGAGUGAAGAAGGCCUUAGGGUUGUAAAGGUCUGUCGGAUGGGAGGAAAAUAAUCAUAGUGAACAGGUAUGGGGAAUGACGGUACCAGGAAAAGAAGCACCGGCUAACUCCGUG